rnacentral:rRNA from 1 species
GACGAACGCUGGCGGCGUGCCUAAUACAUGCAAGUUGAGCGCUGAAGGUUGGUACUUGUACCAACUGGAUGAGCAGCGAACGGGUGAGUAACGCGUGGGGAAUCUGCCUUUGAGCGGGGGACAACAUUUGGAAACGAAUGCUAAUACCGCAUAAAAACUUUAAACACAAGUUUUAAGUUUGAAAGAUGCAAUUGCAUCGCUCAAAGAUGAUCCCGCGUUGUAUUAGCUAGUUGGUGAGGUAAAGGCUCACCAAGGCGAUGAUACAUAGCCGACCUGAGAGGGUGAUCGGCCACAUUGGGACUGAGACACGGCCCAAACUCCUACGGGAGGCAGCAGUAGGGAAUCGUCGGCAAUGGACGAAAGUCUGACCGAGCAACGCCGCGUGAGUGAAGAAGGUUUUCGGAUCGUAAAACUCUGUUGGUAGAGAAGAACGUUGGUGAGAGUGGAAAGCUCAUCAAGUGACGGUAACUACCCAGAAAGGGACGGCUAACUACGUG